GUAGUCCACGCCGUAAACGAUGCUAACUCGUUUUUGGGUCUUCGGAUUCAGAGACUAAGCGAAAGUGAUAAGUUAGCCACCUGGGGAGUACGAACGCAAGUUUGAAACUCAAAGGAAUUGACGGGGGCCCGCACAAGCGGUGGAUUAUGUGGUUUAAUUCGAUGAUACGCGAGGAACCUUACCAAGGCUUAAAUGGGAAUUGACCGGUUUAGAAAUAGACCUUCCUUCGGGCAAUUUUCAAGGUGCUGCAUGGUUGUCGUCAGCUCGUGCCGUGAGGUGUUAGGUUAAGUCCUGCAACGAGCGCAACCCCUGUCACUAGUUGCUAACAUUCAGUUGAGGACUCUAGUGAGACUGCCUACGCAAGUAGAGA
rnacentral:rRNA from 1 species